AAAUACAUGUAUUAUACACAAUAAGUGGAUGUGUAUGACAUGGAAAAUGUAUGGAAUUAUUUUGUUAGCUGCAAUCACUUUAAAGAAAUUGUUGGAACAAGGUCCUGGAUAGGAAUGGGCCAGAAGAGCCACAACAUGGAUGAAUAGAAGGAGAAAUGAGUCCCAUUCCCCAAUUCCAUUUGCACCAAUCAACUAUCUUGGACAGUCCAUUAUAAAAAGAGAACCAAAAGUACAGGAAGAGGAGCGAGUGGUUCCAGGGAGAACCGAACAGAGGACGGAUGGACGGACGGACCUGGAUGGUACACCCCUCCAUGACUGACGCCCCAGAAGAGCAAACAGGCACCAACCGAGGGACGGACAGACAGUUCCCUGUACACACCUGAGAUGCAAGGUCCUACCCUACCUAAGUUAAGUACCAGUGGCCAGGUCGGAAGACCAAACCAGAGUAGGGAGGGCCGAGAAUUGGGGUGUACGUGGUGAAUGACCAGGGACACAGUGGGAGUGUGGAGAUCAAGUGCUGUUUGUUCUUCCAUUGCAGGAUCCUACGUCGUGGUAUUGGAGAGGUGGGGACUGCCCCUGAAGGGAGCUAAAUACAAGCCUUACACCAGGAUAAACCAACAGGUUAGGAGGUUCGUGGAUCGGUCACCUUCAGCUUCACCUUUCCUUGUUUGCAUUUCUACUGGGACAGUGUUUGGCGACUAGGAUUAAGUACAGGACUGUAAUGGAGUGAAAACAAAAGAGAAACACACUCCAUGACUAAGGUCGUACAUCAUUGCAUAACGGAAGGAUAUUAUCCUAAAGUCUUUUUAAUACUGGUUGUUUGUGAUUAAAAUUGUAAAUGUAAAAUAAUAAUAAAUUGCAAUGAAAAGAACAGUAAGAGUUAGUUCUAAGGCCACCGCUGUAACUGUUUUUGUAAUGAACAGGUGCACAUAUGAUUUACAAGGACACAAUGUGUUGCUAGCGAGUUGCUAAAGUUUAUUUUAAAGCUCAGACUUUCUUUAGUUAAAGAAGAGAAGUGAAAGCCCUUGCAUUUUAAAAAUAUUAACAUUUCAUGUUUUGAAUAAAUGCGAACAUACCGGCAAACUGGUGUAGCUCUGGGCGCAGCCAUCUUGGGUAGCGUGUACGUUAAUGUCAGGCUUUAUUACAGUCGUGAGCACGCUUAAUAAUAGUUAAUGUGGGGGGAAAUAUAUUAUUUAGCUGGGUUUUAACUAUAGUAUGCUUAACUUUUAAGAGUGGGUCUAUAAUGGAAAUUACGCUAACAAGUGUGAAUCAGUUAAUGCAGAGACUGUAACAUAUCUAUAAGACUAUACUUUAAUGAAGGUGUAGUGGAUUAGUCCUGGGGAGGGGCUAGUGAUAGGGGAAGGUAUAAGUACCUGUGUAGAGCUCAUUUUUGGGGACUAGAUUUGAGACUCCAGAGAGAGUGACUGUGUACUCGAUGUAUACAAUCUGUGUUAAAUACAGGCUUGUGGAUUUGUUUUGUUAAAUUUUUAGUGUUUUGUACUGCCAGUCUUCACCUGAGGCUUAAAUAAAAGCUUACUUUUGACAUUUUAAUCGCGACUUCUGACUGUUUUCUGCCACCUGCAAUAGCCACUUGACCACAAUACUAUACAAGAACCUACAAACUGAGUUUUCUAGGCCUUUUGAGGCCCAGGUGAAUAUACUGCAACUAUCAUUUCACCAAACUGCUGUUUAUAUUGUUCGGGAAUGUGUUGUGAUAAUAUAUUGUGUGGAGUGGAAUAAUAGUGAUACUAAUAGCCCCCCCUGAAGUCACAAGUAGCCUGUUAAAAUAUUUUAUGGAAGGUUUUAGUGGUUUUACUUAGUAAACAGUUGUAGGCGUUUUUAGAAUAGGUUUUGUUUGGAGAUAAUAUGCAAGGUGGU